rnacentral:lncRNA from 1 species
CUCUUCACCAAUGGAGGAGAAGGCAGAAUGCCUAAGCUGUGUCUCAGUGGCCAAUAGGAUAGCUGUGUAUCUCCCACGUGACUCACUGCCCCUGUCUUUCACAUGGGCUGUAAUUUAGUUCAAUUCAGAACUGCAGAUAGUACGGCUUUCACAGGAGCAAGGAAUGCCUGGGCACAAGUGCCUGAGUUCCGAGGGACUUUGGGAAAACACUUUGCUCUCUCCCUCCUUCCUGGAAUCAGGGAUUCUGCACCUGCAUCAGAGACCGUCCAGCCAGAGCCGCUGCUGUGCCUCCAGGGACCAGGAACGAGCACAAAUAAGCGUUUUGAAAUUACACCUGAAGACCAGACAUAAUGAUCAACAGAGCCCCAGCCUGUCUGGACUCCAGCCAGGUCCCCCUCUACAAUCAAGGAGCCUGCACGCAAUCCCUGCCUGGCCUAUCCCCCUGCUCUGUGCAGAUCCGGGAUGGAAGUCUUACACAUACUGCGGAAAGAUUAAAGACAACAAUAUCCCCUUUCUCUUACCCCAGACAGCCUCAAUUUUUAACCCUUUCGUUGCCUCGAAAACGGAGACGUCUUCUCCGUUCAAAUGCAAGUCCCCGGAGGUUGUGGCGGGGGGGAGGUGGGCUGCAACUCCCUCCGCAUAGUGUACAGCUGCAUGCGCCUCAUUGGGUACAGAAAUCACAUCUCCAACGACCCACCGGGAUAUGUUAGGAUGAACAGCGUGCUAACGCAACAAAACAGGAUUUGCUUGUGCGGGAAAUGCAUUUUUGGAUGAACUGAAGCUGUAUGAAAUCUGGAAAAUGUCAAAGGUCUGUGAACGAUUCUUGCAAAGCUUGCAGAAGGUUCUAUCGUGUCUGAUGAUGCUGUUCUUUAAGCAUCUCUCUCUCUCUCUCUCUCACUCGUUCAAGAGACACUCAGCCAGGCACGUAUCUCGUUCUAUCACGGAGAAACCCAGGUUUGCUGGUGAUGUCAUCACAUAUAAAAUUUCGCCUUUGUGGGCCACAUUUUCAAUCACCUAAUCGCCAGUGUCUGUUGGGUGUAUGCCCAUAGGAAGUUCACAUGUGUGUGGGGUUAACCGACACCCACAGGAAAGGACUGUUUUAUUUGUAACUAUCUUUCUCUUGAAGAUGUGUUAUGGGCAGUAUGGCCAAAUUUAUCAAGAUAUAUGUAGGCAGGCAGAGUUUCCUCGUUCUGGGAAGCCUUAUUAAUAUGCUGGUUGAACAUUUUAGAGGUGGCUGAAUUUCAAUGACGUGAAUAGGAUGUAGAAAUGGUGAGCAUUUUGCAAUCAUUGGGGUAAAAAGGCUACAAUGUCGAUAUUUGUUAUGACUUGGUGAUUUUUAUGUGCCACUCAAAUUUUUGAAAUCUAUUAGAUCAUUUUUACUAUUUACUUAUUAUGUAAGGAAAGAAUCUACACAAAUGAUUUGGAAAGCAAUGCUCAUUUCACGUGCUCUGGGUUAGAUGAGAGUUGGAUUAAAACUGUGUGGGCUAUUAUAGCGUUUGUAUUUAUUUUCAAGUCUCUUUUAUGGGUCUUAUGCUAAACAGGUAUUCACCAAGCAAGCAUUCAGAUUUUUAAUGAUGUGUGUAUUUAAGUACAUUAUUUUAUUCCACUUAACUCAAAUGGAACAAAGUUUAAUAAUUUUAACAAAACACAUGGCCAUAUCUGAGAUAUAAACAUAAAACAACUGUGUACACAUAAUUCUCCUAAUUACCAAGUUUUGGUCCGUAGUUUAAAUUAAUCUUCAUUCGGAUAGGACAACUGGGUGUACUUACCAGUUCUUACGUGGGGGAUAUUUGACACAUUAUUUUCUUAAUUUUCAUAUGUGCAUUUAAUGCUUCUUUCUUAAAAGAACUUUCAUACUUAGAAAAGGAUUAAUGUUGAACAGAUUUGCAAAUAAUAUGUACAUGAACAGCAUUGCUUAUAUGCCAACACACAAAUUAAUUUUUGAUGUUGUGUGAUUGUUUUAAAACCAGUGAAAAAUUUUUUGUCCUUUUUCUUUUUUUUUUUGCUUUCAAGUUAACAUUAUUGAGAAAAGUAUGUAGCUUAAAGAACGGACGCAUUUUUUGCUUAAGAAGAGCAAGCUACACAAGUUAGGUGACAUUCUAUGGGGUAAAACUCCAAUGUGAACUAAUAAAUAACUUUUCUGAGAAAGUCUUGGACCUGACUCCAUAGUUUUUACAUAAAUAGUUCUUCCAACAUAUAGUGGCGUUCUUGCCUGAGGAUGAAUCCUCAAAUUGUUUUCUCAAAGACUAAAAGGCUAGCAAAGAGUUGGAUUUAAAGUUCACUUACUUUCUAAAAACAAAACAUGGCAUGGCCCACUGGGGAUGUAGGUUACAAAAAAAGGCAUCUUUCAAGAAAAGAAGAUAAUGGACUUGAUUGAAAUAGUUGAACUACGUAACGCCAAUUCAAGAACAAAUGGUUUUUCAGAGCAUAACGGAGAAAGAACAAUUUACUAUAGUACAGUUUAUUCUUCUUACACAAUAGGAAUGAUUUAUUUGAAAUGGCAGAACAAACAUAGCAGAUAUACAAAAACAAUAAAGACAUCUUAUGUCAGGGGUAUAUCAACAUUCUUGUGUUUCAUAUAUUAGAAUAUACUUAAUUCAAUUAUUUAUCUGAAGACUUUAGUUAAAACCUGUACUCUUGCUUAGCAUGUGUUGACACUAUAACCAUGUAUUUUUGUACCUCGCGUAGUAUGUAUCGUAGGUGUAAAUUAUAGAUUUGAACGAAGUCUUAUGAUCAAAAAUAAUUGUUGGUAUUGUAUUAUGAUCAGUGUUGUUUCAGUGCUCCUGAGUUAGAAUAUUAGCAUAGUUCGAUCCAGUGAAAUUUGUAUGGCAAUGUUAGCUACCUGUGUCUAAGUUAGCAGAGGGGGUGUGCUCAGAUAUUGGUCAAAUUAAUGUACUGAUAAUGUAAUUAUUGCAGAUGCCUCAUAUCCAAAACUAUUUUCACUAGAUCAAAACAUAUGAUAGUCAUUUGGCCAACAGCACAAAAUAUUUAAAAAAAAAAAAAAACUUCUCUCUUUCUUACCAUUAGGAAGAUGAUUUUUCCAAGCAGCCUCACAGUCAUAAUUUUUCUUUAUGAAAAGAGAGACUGGGGUUUCCCCCCUCCCCGCCCCAAACUUAGCCUUUAGGCAUAGGAUUUGGGAUUAAUUUGAGUGGACGCCUGGGCACUGCAGAGAGAAGGCCAGAAGGAAGGAAGAGGAACUGGUUUGGUGGCUUCAUGCCUCAAAUGUUAUCCUUCCAAGCCUACAUGGAGACUGCCCUCAAAAUCCAUUUGAGUGAAAACCUUCAAAGUCAUUUUCACAAUUUUCAGAAGGUCCACCAGGGAGACAUGUCCGAAGAGUGAUUAAAAGUCCCGCUGCCUGAAACUCCCUGAGCCCAGGGAGGCACUGGGGUCAGAUACACACAGGAGUCACAGAUAGGACAUGAACUAUGUAUCGCACAUUCGGAGGCUGAGAGAGAGACAUUGGGGAUAUUUCACCCCAAACAGAUUUGGGGUUGAUUAUUGGCAUAUCUUUUGAAACGUCAAGCCUGCAGUUCAGCUGAAAUAACUUUUUAUAUGUACAGCUAAGACCAGAUGGCCCUGUGUGCCUUUCUUAUUUAGAUGAGACUUUUCCUUUCAAUAACAUCUUUCUUCCUGACCUGCUUAAAAAUUCCAGCGAAUGAAAUCAGCACAGGAUUUUCAAUUCUAAUUGACCAUGUGCAGAGGAAGGGCCAGUGGAGAAAUCAGUAGAGGCAUUGUAAACCUCCCUGCCUCCGUUUUUGUCUUUGUGUUUUCCCCUUACCAGCCAAUCUAAACUAAUUGAACAUAUUUAAUUUUUACUCCUAUUCAUAUCGCUGCAAGAUGCAUCCUCCAUGCAAAUGUCUUGAGUUGGCUGUUUCUGCCAUUUCAUCACAAGUAAUUGUGUUUUAAAGUUAUCAUUUUCAGCCACAGGCUCUCACCUAGAUGGUGAGCCAUUUAUUUGAAAAAUUGCACUGAAAUUUAGCAUAAUGUUUGAAUUAAGAUGAAAGAGUGAUGAUACUAAAUUUAUUUUCUUUGUCACUUAAAUGAGUCAUCACUAUUGAAAUAUGUGUGUGUGUGUGUGUGUGUGUGUGUGUGUGUGUAUAUACAUUUAAAUUUAUUAUGAAAAUAGCCACUAUCUAAAAUUCUUGGGUUCAUUCUAUGUAUAGUUAUCAUUAAAAAAUUUUUUUUCUUCGCAUUUAUUUUGGACUUGGAGUAGGAAAGGCUAUAUCAAGAAUUUAAGAUGUUCUAUAUAGUGUAGCUUAGCAAAUCAUAUGUGCUGUAAAAGUACGCAUGUAAAUUCUCUUUUUUUUUUCCUUUUUGACAAGUUGUCGACUCAGUUUUUUUUCAAAGUUUAUUAUUACUGCAAAGCAUCCACAGUGUUCUCUUUUUAAAAAUUUAAUAUUAGAAACAGUAAAAAUGUUAGGAGAAAACAAGUUUUCUUUCUGAUACCGGUACUAAUUAUUAUGACAAAGAAAGACAGAAAGAAACAUGUACCAAAGGUGUAUAUUUUAAAAGCUGUACAUGGAGAUAAGAAAAACUCCAACCUAACUAUCAGAGUUAUUGAAAAUCUGUUGGCCACAUAGCAGCACUCUCUCUAUUUGGAAUUCUUUGCUCAUUCUUCUUCAGGUAACCAUUUAUCUCAAGCCGGUCUACUCGUUGUCAAAAAUAGGAUGCCCUCAUCAAAAGCCACACUAGUGGAAUGGUUUGAAAGAUGCACCUUAUGACUGAUAAGAUCAAUUAGAAUUUCUUUGCAUCCAAAUUACACAAAAAUUGAAAAACAGUUGCUCACGGAAUUCGUAACUAUGAAGGCAUGUUCUAAGCCACCAACAUGUGAAGUCAAUUCAUUAUGAAACUUGCAAUUUAAAUUUCUUAGAUUGUCAUAUAUAUAUGUGUGUGUAUACACACACACACACACACACACACACAUAUAUAUAUGCCAGUUUGCAUUACCUAAACAUAAGAACGUUCAUCAUGCCAUUAAAUAUCUAUGUUGAUUCAUUUAUCUCAUUCAUAUUGGUGAUUUUUUUCCCACUGAUUUGUGAAUUACAAAAAUCCAUUAGAAAAAUGGCAUGAUUAUAUAUGGCAGUGAUUCAGCCAAUUCCUGUUUCAUUACCCUAAACAGAUAAAAUAUAGUUAAAAACUGAAAAAGUCAAAAUAUAAACAAAAAAUCAAAGUAAAAUACAGAAUCUAAGGUAUCCCAUUCUACGUAUGUUUAGCUUAAGUUUCCUUUUCAAACAGCAAAUUUGAACAAGCAAUGAAUUUAACCCCGCCUGUGAGAGGAGCUGAUGGAUAAUGGAGUGUUGGGAAGAAUUAUUAAAGUUGUAUUCGUGUUGUAAUUGCAGAGAGUCAAAGCUCAGACAUUCAAAGCAGGUGCGACUAAGAAAGAGGACUCUGAACUCCUCCCAUUUUCUCUUCUUCCAUGUUAUUCUGAAGAAUAGACGGAUUUUGAUUUGGCAAGGUCCUAGAUCAAUCCCAAACACUAGGUGAUUUUUGGCAUUUCCCUUUCCGUGGGCUCAGGGUUUGCUCCUCUGCCGGGCUGCCUGUGUGUCCAUGUGCUUUAGGUGAACAGCAGGGGAGAAAUUGUAAUUAUACCCAGUGCUGAUGCUGGGAGAUGUGCGAGAUGUCUGCCCCAUGUUGUUCCCUUCCGGCUCCCUGAGACGGUGAGGGUCUGUCUGAGACUGAGACGCUGAAGAAACCAGCCCCCUCUGGCUCUCCCGGGACACCCUUUGGAUCUGUGUGGAUGUUCCUUCUCAAGGCUCUUCGCCAGCCCUUAGCACACAUUCGAACCCUCGAGACUUCCACCUGCUGUGCUAGGUUCUCGCUGUUUCAGCUCAGAUAAGCCAUGGCUUCCCCCUGAAUUAUGCAGCUAAGCUUUACCCUCGGAGCUGUCUGUUGUAAACUGGAUGUUUUAAAACUGUGACGGAAGUGGGGCUACCAGGGUGUACAGCAACUCAAAAGGAUAUACUUCGGGGCAGAGGCCAAUCUCUUUGGCAUCCUGAAACUCUGCAGCGUUGAGGGCAGAAUAAAAAGAUUCCCCUGCAUUCGAUUGGACGGUUCUUGCAUCCAGCACGAGGCCAGUGCACCUCGGGGUAGUCGGCUCCUCUCAGCUGAUGCACGUGAGCUGGACUCUUUCUCCUUGUAGUGCAUACGUCAUUGGGUGUAUUUCCUGCAGGAAAACUACUGUGUUAAUGGCUAAGGUCUAACUUCUCUUUCAGGAAGGGCUGAUCUAGAGAAAGAAAACAGUAGUGUGACAAGAGAUUAUGUCUGUCAGACCACGAGAGUGUGAGCUGUACCAGAUCAUGCAAAAUGAGGGGAAUAUGUCACACACACACACACACACACACACACACACACACAAAGGUGCUUGGGGACAUUUUCAUCACACACAUGGAUUAUCUAGAAGCCUGGGUGUAAAUAUAACCACUGGGGGAUGGGAAACUAGAGCGAAACAAAAAUUCCAUUUAAGGUUUAGGUAUCUAAUCGUAUUGCUUUGGAAACAUUUGUAAAAAAGGACUAUUUCACUCACUUGCCUUAUUCCUCUUAGUCGUCUAUCAAGACAUUAUUCACCCUAUAUUGGCAGGAAAGGAAACACUGACUGCUGCUCUGUGUGUUAUCAGCCACUCUACAAAGUACCUUUUACCCUGAAAGGACUUAAGAUUUAAGCCGACAACAGUGCCUGUGAAGAAAUGCAUUCUUGGGUUAGUGUGAGGACAAAAGAGGGUUAAUUUUUCAAAUCUCUGUGAAGAGGGGGGGAAAAAAACUGGAAGAUGAAAAUCAAAGACGGAGCUUCUAGUGAUUUAGUUGUAUUUAUGGAUUAUACUGCCUCUUGAAAAGAAGAAAAUCAGAGCUGUAAGAUGACACUGCAGGGGUUGUCUGGACCUUUCACGGAGUCUAAAGUCUGUGGAGUCAAUGCUUAUUAAGGCCUGGUCUUGACCUCUGCUCUGCUGACGCCUCCCUGGUCCAGGUGCAACAUUAUUGCAAGUGCUUUACUGUUAUCAGACACGAUGUGCAAACUUCAAAUCCUGAAUGAACAGAGUCCGCUGAGCAUACACACAAUCCAGCAAUUAUGAUGCCUACAUGUAAAAAUGAGUGAAGACCUGUAAACUUAAUCCACUUCCUUUUAUAAUUAAUAAACAGUGACAAUAGCUCUUCUUCAAGAUACAGCUGCUCAAGUGCAACUUACCUGCAGCUAGCUUUGGCACUUAUGCUGAUAGGAUCAAAUUUGGCAAGAAUAUUUAAAGUAAUGAUUCCUGUCUAAACAAAUUCUAUUUGAAUGAACCAUGGGGGAGUGUAUAUAACAAUUUCUUUAAAAAUCAAAUGUAUACUCUGAGUAAUACAAGAGGUCUCUUAUAGUCUAGGUUUUGUUUUUGUCUUUUUUAAAAAGGAUUGAUUUUACUUUUAAAAAUGGCAUUAACAGAAUAAGACAGGAAAACACAAAAUUCCCCAGAAUUUUAUCCUGAAGUAUAGUAAAGCUUUUUCACUCCAACAGUUCUAUAAAGCGUACUUCCAUAUUUACAUAGGGUUUGAUAAAUAUAAGAGAAAAACAAUUUAUACAUAUCCAUUAAUUGAUCUUUUGAAUAAAAUUGCUAUGUUUAUGCCUCUGAAAUGUUAGCUAACUUGUGUAAAUCAUAUAAAAUGACCCAAAAUUAGCUGCACACACAUAAACAGAGGAGAAAUAAAACUCUCAGGUAUCAGAAUACAUUACAGAGAUUUAGGAUUUUAUUUUAUCUUUCUGUUGAGUGUUUAGCAGACAAUUCUCUAAAUUACAUAAAUUUACUCUUUUUAAAUAUAAAUUUUGAACUUCGAGGAAACAAAUCUCUAACUUAUAAGGAAAGCAAAAGUUUUAAAUUUGCACUAAAGGAGUCAUACAUAAAUACGUCUUUUUUAGCCAGAAUUUUAAAAAGUAGAAAACAUUUCAUUUUAAAUUUAAAAAUAUUUCAGACUUAAAUUUCAAUUUAGAAAACAUUUCAGUUAAAGCAAUGUCAUCUUUCUAUCACCAAGAUUUAUCAUUUUUAACAUUUUUCCCUCUAUUUACUCCAAGCCAUUAAAAAAUAAACAUAUGCAAUUGAAGAUGUCAACUUUCUUGCCAUUUCCGGAGGUCCUUCUGGCAGUAGAAGUAAUCACUAUCUUUUCUAGGUCAUUUUUUCACACCUCCAUUUUUUUAAUCACCUACUUAAGUGUCAAAAGAUAGAAAACAAAAAGGGGCCAAGUAUCAGUUAUAAGUUCCUAGAUUUGCUGUUUUUAAAUUUUCCUUAAAAUUAUUGGAAAAUUUUCAAAAACGCAUUCAUUGGAUGCCAUAUUUACUUAUUUAUUUUUGGUUUAAAAAAACCUAAUGCUGAUAAAAAGAAAAAAAAAGUUAAAAGAUUUCAUCGCCCUCCUCAAUAAACUUCCUUGGUUUCAGAAAACUGAGAAAAUAU